rnacentral:tRNA from 1 species
AGGAUGAUAGCUUAAUUGGUAGAGCAUUCCGCUCAUAACGGGCAAGAUAUUGGUUCAACUCCAAUUCAUCCUA